UGAUAGUGGCGAACGGGUGAGUAAUGUAUGAGCAAUCUGAGCCGUGGAUCUGGAAUAACUCUGCGAAAGUGGGGCUAAUACCGGAUGUGGUUGUUUUCCGGCAUCAGGAAACAAUUAAAGGUGGGGACCUUCGGGCCUGCUGUUUAGGGAGGAGCUCAUAUCCUAUUAGCUUGUUGGUGGGGUAAAAGCCCACCAAGGCUGUGAUGGGUAGCCGGCCUGAGAGGGUGACCGGGCACACUGGGACUGAGACACUGCCCAGACUCCUACGGGAGGCUGCAGUCGAGAAUCCUUCGCAAUGGGGGAAACCCUGACGAAGCGACGCCGCGUGAGCGAUGAAGGCCUUCGGGUUGUAAAGCUCUGUCGCCUGGGAAAAAUGGCCAGUAUGUUAAUACCAUUCUGGUUUGAUGUUACCAGGAAAGGAAGCCCCGGCUAACUCUGUGCCAGCAGCCGCGGUAAUACAGAGGGGGCAAGCGUUGUUCGGAUUUACUGGGCGUAAAGGGUGCGCAGGCGGCCUUAAAAGUCAGAUGUGAAAUCUUCCGGCUCACCCGGGAAACUGCAUCUGAAACUCUAAGGCUUGAGUAUGUGGGAAGAGAGUGGAAUUCUCGGUGUAGCGGUGGAAUGUGUAGAUAUCGAGAAGAACACCAGU
rnacentral:rRNA from 1 species